rnacentral:lncRNA from 1 species
GGGAGAGUGAGCGAACGAAUGUGUGGUGCUCAGCCACCUGCUGGGUUAAACCACAACAGCACAGCACUCCUCCCCACAUCCCAGCUUCUCCAACAUGAAAAGGAUUUGGAAAUAUUGUCUUCUUUCAAGUGUUCAUCAUCACAGUCUGGAUCUCCACUUUUCAAGAUGUGGCUUCAUCAGUGCUGAACAGAAAAGAAGGAUCUUUCCUCUUGACCUGCUGACGCUCCUCCUAAUGCAGUCCAUGAUACUGUUGGCCUUUUU